rnacentral:rRNA from 1 species
UGUGUGUUAGUGGAAGCGUCUGGAAAGGCGCGCGAUACAGGGUGACAGCCCCGUACACAAAAAUGCACAUGCUGUGAGCUCGAUGAGUAGGGCGGGACACGUGGUAUCCUGUCUGAAUAUGGGGGGACCAUCCUCCAAGGCUAAAUACUCCUGACUGACCGAUAGUGAACCAGUACCGUGAGGGAAAGGCGAAAAGAACCCCGGCGAGGGGAGUGAAAAAGAACCUGAAACCGUGUACGUACAAGCAGUGGGAGCACGCUUAGGCGUGUGACUGCGUACCUUUUGUAUAAUGGGUCAGCGACUUAUAUUCUGUAGCAAGGUUAACCGAAUAGGGGAGCCGAAGGGAAACCGAGUCUUAACUGGGCGUUAAGUUGCAGGGUAUAGACCCGAAACCCGGUGAUCUAGCCAUGGGCAGGUUGAAGGUUGGGUAACACUAACUGGAGGACCGAACCGACUAAUGUUGAAAAAUUAGCGGAUGACUUGUGGCUGGGGGUGAAAGGCCAAUCAAACCGGGAGAUAGCUGGUUCUCCCCGAAAGCUAUUUAGGUAGCGCCUCGUGAAUUCAUCUCCGGGGGUAGAGCACUGUUUCGGCAAGGGGGUCAUCCCGACUUACCAACCCGAUGCAAACUGCGAAUACCGGAGAAUGUUAUCACGGGAGACACACGGCGGGUGCUAACGUCCGUCGUGAAGAGGGAAACAACCCAGACCGCCAGCUAAGGUCCCAAAGUCAUGGUUAAGUGGGAAACGAUGUGGGAAGGCCCAGACAGCCAGGAUGUUGGCUUAGAAGCAGCCAUCAUUUAAAGAAAGCGUAAUAGCUCACUGGUCGAGUCGGCCUGCGCGGAAGAUGUAACGGGGCUAAACCAUGCACCGAAGCUGCGGCAGCGACGCUGAUGCGUUGUUGGGUAGGGGAGCGUUCUGUAAGCCUGUGAAGGUGUGCUGUGAGGCAUGCUGGAGGUAUCAGAAGUGCGAAUGCUGACAUAAGUAACGAUAAAGCGGGUGAAAAGCCCGCUCGCCGGAAGACCAAGGGUUCCUGUCCAACGUUAAUCGGGGCAGGGUGAGUCGACCCCUAAGGCGAGGCCGAAAGGCGUAGUCGAUGGGAAACAGGUUAAUAUUCCUGUACUUGGUGUUACUGCGAAGGGGGGACGGAGAAGGCUAUGUUGGCCGGGCGACGGUUGUCCCGGUUUAAGCGUGUAGGCUGGUUUUCCAGGCAAAUCCGGAAAACUAAGGCUGAGGCGUGAUGACGAGGCACUACGGUGCUGAAGCAACAAAUGCCCUGCUUCCAGGAAAAGCCUCUAAGCAUCAGGUAACAUCAAAUCGUACCCCAAACCGACACAGGUGGUCAGGUAGAGAAUACCAAGGCGCUUGAGAGAACUCGGGUGAAGGAACUAGGCAAAAUGGUGCCGUAACUUCGGGAGAAGGCACGCUGAUAUGUAGGUGAAGUCCCUCGCGGAUGGAGCUGAAAUCAGUCGAAGAUACCAGCUGGCUGCAACUGUUUAUUAAAAACACAGCACUGUGCAAACACGAAAGUGGACGUAUACGGUGUGACGCCUGCCCGGUGCCGGAAGGUUAAUUGAUGGGGUCAGCGCAAGCGAAGCUCUUGAUCGAAGCCCCGGUAAACGGCGGCCGUAACUAUAACGGUCCUAAGGUAGCGAAAUUCCUUGUCGGGUAAGUUCCGACCUGCACGAAUGGCGUAAUGAUGGCCAGGCUGUCUCCACCCGAGACUCAGUGAAAUUGAACUCGCUGUGAAGAUGCAGUGUACCCGCGGCAAGACGGAAAGACCCCGUGAACCUUUACUAUAGCUUGACACUGAACAUUGAGCCUUGAUGUGUAGGAUAGGUGGGAGGCUUUGAAGUGUGGACGCCAGUCUGCAUGGAGCCGACCUUGAAAUACCACCCUUUAAUGUUUGAUGUUCUAACGUUGACCCGUAAUCCGGGUUGCGGACAGUGUCUGGUGGGUAGUUUGACUGGGGCGGUCUCCUCCUAAAGAGUAACGGAGGAGCACGAAGGUUGGCUAAUCCUGGUCGGACAUCAGGAGGUUAGUGCAAUGGCAUAAGCCAGCUUGACUGCGAGCGUGACGGCGCGAGCAGGUGCGAAAGCAGGUCAUAGUGAUCCGGUGGUUCUGAAUGGAAGGGCCAUCGCUCAACGGAUAAAAGGUACUCCGGGGAUAACAGGCUGAUACCGCCCAAGAGUUCAUAUCGACGGCGGUGUUUGGCACCUCGAUGUCGGCUCAUCACAUCCUGGGGCUGAAGUAGGUCCCAAGGGUAUGGCUGUUCGCCAUUUAAAGUGGUACGCGAGCUGGGUUUAGAACGUCGUGAGACAGUUCGGUCCCUAUCUGCCGUGGGCGCUGGAGAACUGAGGGGGGCUGCUCCUAGUACGAGAGGACCGGAGUGGACGCAUCACUGGUGUUCGGGUUGUCAUGCCAAUGGCACUGCCCGGUAGCUAAAUGCGGAAGAGAUAAGUGCUGAAAGCAUCUAAGCACGAAACUUGCCCCGAGAUGAGUUCUCCCUGACCCUUUAAGGGUCCUGAAGGAACGUUGAAGACGACGACGUUGAUAGGCCGGGUGUGUAAGCGCAGCGAUGCGUUGAGCUAACCGGUACUAAUGAACCGUGAGGCUUAACCUUACAACGCCGAAG